UAAGACGAACCGUGCGAACGUUGUUCGGAUUCACUGGGCUUAAAGGGCGCGUAGGCGGGCUUGUAAGUCAGGGGUGAAAUCCUCCGGCUCAACCGGAGAACAGCCCCUGAUACUGCGAGUCUCGAGGGAGGUAGGGGCAUGCGGAACUUCGGGUGGAGCGGUGAAAUGCGUAGAUAUCCGAAGGAACGCCGGUGGCGAAAGCGGCGUGCUGGACCUCUUCUGACGCUGAGGCGCGAAAGCCAGGGGAGCGAACGGGAUUAGAUACCCCGGUAGUCCUGGCCCUAAACGAUGAGAACUGGAUUGUGGACUGACAUGGGUUCACAGUCGCAGCAAAAGUGCUAAGUUCUCCGCCUGGGGAGUAUGGUCGCAAGGCUG
rnacentral:rRNA from 1 species